rnacentral:rRNA from 1 species
UACGUAGGCAGCAAGCGUUGUUCGGAGUUACUGGGCGUAAAGGGUGUGUAGGCGGUUGGAUAAGUGUGGUGUGAAAUCUCCCGGCUUAACUGGGAGGGUGCGCUACAAACUGUCUGACUAGAGUGUGGGAUGGGAGAGUGGAAUUCCUGGUGUAGCGGUGAAAUGCGUAGAGAUCGGGAGGAACACCAGGAGGCGAAAGCGGCGACCUGGACAAGUACUGACACUCAA